AUUGAACGCUGGCGGCAUGCCUUACACAUGCAAGUCGAACGGCAGCACGGGGGCAACCCUGUGGCGAGUGGCGAACGGGUGAGUAAUGCAUCGGAACGUGUCCUCUUGUGGGGGAUAAGCCAGUCGAAAGAUUGGCUAAUACCGCAUGAGAUCGAAAGAUGAAAGCGGGGAGCCGCAAGGCCUCGCGCGAGAGGAGCGGCCGAUGCCGGAUUAGCUAGUUGGUGGGGUAAUGGCCCCACCAAGGCGACGAUCCGUAGCUGGUCUGAGAGGACGACCAGCCACACUGGGGAACCUGAGACACGGGCCCCAGACUCCUACGGGAGGCAGCAGUGGGGAAUUUUGGACAAUGGGCGCAAGCCUGAUCCAGCCAUGCCGCGUGUGUGAA
rnacentral:rRNA from 1 species